rnacentral:rRNA from 1 species
UGCAGUCGAGCGGAUUGAUGGGAGCUUGCUCCCUGAUAUCAGCGGCGGACGGGUGAGUAACACGUGGGUAACCUGCCUGUAAGACUGGGAUAACUCCGGGAAACCGGGGCUAAUACCGGAUAACUCAUUUCCUCGCAUGAGGAAAUGUUGAAAGGUGGCUUUUGCCUACCACUUACAAAUGGACCCGCGGCGCAUUACCUAGUUGGUGAGGUAACGGCUCACCAAGGCAACGAUGCGUACCCAACCUGAAAGGGUGAUCGGCCACACUGGGACUGAAACACGGCCCAAACUCCUACGGGAGGCAGCAGUAGGGAAUCUUCCGCAAGGGACAAAAGUCUGACGGAGCAACGCCGCGUGAGUGAUGAAGGUUUUCGGAUCGUAAAGCUCUGUUGUUAGGGAAAAACAAGUGCCGUUCAAAUAGGGCGGCACCUUGACGGUACCUAACCAAAAAGCCACGGCUAACUACUUGCCACCAGCCGCGGUAAUACGUAGGUGGCAAGCGUUGUCCGGAAUUAUUGGGCGUAAAGCGCGCGCAGGUGGUUCCUUAAGUCUGAUGUGAAAGCCCACGGCUCACCCGUGAAGGGUCAUUGGAAACUGGGGAACUUGAGUGCAG